rnacentral:rRNA from 1 species
GAUGAACGCUAGCUACAGGCUUAACACAUGCAAGUCGAGGGGCAGCAUGUCGGUUGCUUGCAACCGAUGAUGGCGACCGGCGCACGGGUGAGUAACGCGUAUCCAACCUGCCUCUUACCAGGGAAUAACCCGUCGAAAGGCGGACUAAUGCCCUAUGCCCUCCGCGGCAGACAUCUAAUGCGGAGGAAAGAUUCAUCGGUAAGUGAUGGGGAUGCGUCUGAUUAGCUUGUUGGCGGGGUAACGGCCCACCAAGGCAACGAUCAGUAGGGGUUCUGAGAGGAAGGUCCCCCACAUUGGAACUGAGACACGGUCCAAACUCCUACGGGAGGCAGCAGUGAGGAAUAUUGGUCAAUGGGCGGAAGCCUGAACCAGCCAAGUAGCGUGCAGGACGACUGCCCUAUGGGUUGUAAACUGCUUUUAUGCGGGGAUAAAUGACACUACGUGUAGUGUUUUGCAGGUACCGCAUGAAUAAGGACCGGCUAAUUCCGUGCCAGCCGCCGCAGUAAGAC